rnacentral:tRNA from 1 species
AAGGCCUUAGCUUAAUUAAAGUAUCUGUUUUGCAUACAGAAGAUGUGGGAUAGAGUCCCGCAGGUCUUA